rnacentral:misc_RNA from 1 species
GAUGAAGAACGCAGCGAAAUGCGAUAAGUAAUGUGAAUUGCAGAAUUCAGUGAAUCAUCGAGUCUUUGAACGCACAUUGCACCCCCUGGUAUUCCGGGGGGCAUGCCUGUCCGAGCGUCAUUGCCGCCCUCAAGCACGGCUUGUGUGUUGGGCCCCCGCCCCCCGGCUUCGGGGGGCGGGCCCGAAAGGCAGCGGCGGCACCGCGUCCGGUCCUCGAGCGUAUGGGGCUUCGUCACCCGCUCUGUAGGCCCGGCCGGCGCCCGCCGGCGACCCCAAUCAAUCUUUCCAGGUUGACCUCGGAUCAGGUAGGGAUACCCGCUGAACUUAAGCAUAUCAAUAAGCGGAGGA